rnacentral:lncRNA from 10 species
ACCUGCCUACUAGAGGCCAUCACCACUUGUUUAUUCAAGGGCACAGCUCCAGGUAGUUUUCCUUCUCUUGGGGAUCAUCAGUUUCCUUCUGUCUACCAGGUCAUUCCCAUUAGCAUGUUUUUGCCGCUUUUCUUAAGAGAUAAUAUCUCAACCCUAAUUCCUCCCGCUAACUUACUACCAUCAUUUAUUUAGUAAAAUAUCUCAAAAAAGUAGUUAAUCUUGUUGUUUCUGAUUCUGCUCCUCCCCUCCCCCACCUGUUUUUUUUAAGAGACAGGAUUUCACUCUAUUGCCCAGGCUGGAGUGCAGUGGCGCGAUUAUAGCUCACUGCAGCCUCAAACUCCCGGGCUCAAGCAAUCCUCCCACCUCACAGCCCCCCAAAAUCUCAUUCUUUCGGUGUCUGUUCCAAUCAGGCUGCCCUGCCACUCCAAGGAAAGUGUUCUUUUCAGUGUCCUCUCAUGCUGAUAAGUCCAAUAACCAACUAUGUACCCUCAUGCUGACCUAGCAGCAGCUUUGAAUACUGCCAAGCACUCCCUUUUUGUUGACAUGCUUUCAAUGGACUAUCACCUGGUUUUCCUCCUAAGUCACUGGCUGGUCUUCUGACUUUGCUGGUUCCCUCACAUCUCACCAACCUAUUAAGGUGAUAAUGCUUCAAGGCAUAGUGCUUGGACAUCUUCUCUUUUCUGCCACUGUCUUGGUAAUCUCAUCCUGUCCCACAGCUUAGUAUCUAU